GACGAACGCUGGCGGCGUGCUUAACACAUGCAAGUCGAACGGCAAGGCCCUGCUUUCGUGGGGUGCUCGAGUGGCGAACGGGUGAGUAACACGUGAGUAACCUGCUCUUGACUUUGGGAGAACUUCAGGAAACUGGGGCUACUACCGGAUAGGAUCUGCUGCUGCAGGGAGGGGGGUGGAAAGUUUCGGCGGUUGGGGAUGGACUGGCGGCUUAUCAGCUUGUUGGUGGGGUAGUGGCGUACCAAGGCUGUGACGGGUAGCCGGCCUGAGAGGGUGACCGGCCACAUUGGGACUGAGAUACGGCCCAGACUCCUACGGGAGGCAGCAGUGGGGAAUAUGGCACAAUGGGCGGAAGCCUGAUGCAGCAACGCCGCGUGCGGGAUGACGGCCUUCGGGUUGUAAACCGCUUUCGCCUGUGACGAAGCGUGAGUGACGGUAAUGGGUAAAGAAGCACCGGCUAACUACGUG
rnacentral:rRNA from 1 species